UACGUAGGGUGCAAGCGUUGUCCGGAAUUAUUGGGCGUAAAGAGCUCGUAGGCGGUCUGUUGCGUCGGCUGUGAAAACCCGGGGCUCAACCCCGGGCCUGCAGCCGAUACGAGCAGACUAGAGUUCGGCAGGGGAGACUGGAAUUCCUGGUGUAGCGGUGAAAUGCGCAGAUAUCAGGAGGAACACCGGUGGCGAAGGCGGCUUUCUGGACGACAACUGACGCUGAGACGCGAAAGCGUGGGGAGCAAACAGG
rnacentral:rRNA from 1 species